CCCUACGGGGCGCAGCAGUGGGGAAUAUUGCACAAUGGGGGAAACCCUGAUGCAGCGACGCCGCGUGAGUGAAGAAGUAUUUCGGUAUGUAAAGCUCUAUCAGCAGGGAAGAAAAAAGACGGUACCUGCAGAAGAAGCCACGGCUAACUACGUGCCAGCAGCCGCGGUAAUACGUAGGUGGCAAGCGUUAUCCGGAAUUACUGGGUGUAAAGGGUGUGUAGGCGGGUUUGCAAGU
rnacentral:rRNA from 1 species